UACGGGGGAUGCAAGCGUUAUCCGGAAUUAUUGGGCGUAAAGCGUCUGUAGGUGGUUGUUCAAGUCUGUUGUCAAAGCAUGGAGCUUAACUCCAUAUAGGCAAUGGAAACUGAAUCACUAGAGUACGGUAGGGGUCGCGGGAAUUCCCAGUGUAGCGGUGAAAUGCGUAGAUAUUGGGAAGAACACCAGUGGCGGAAGCGCGCGGCUGGACCUGUACUGACACUGAGGGACGAAAGCUAGGGGAGCGAAAGGG
rnacentral:rRNA from 1 species